UGAACGCUUUCGCGGCAGUGUGACAGGACGUCUGCAAUGUGUUUACGGUCUUGUUUGCAUCUUAAAGUGUUUUUAGUCAUUUCCCCUGAUAGAAAGAUGGAUCGUGUGUCGCAGGCAGGUUCAGCGCUUGCGUUUAUUUUCCCGACAGCCAGAAGUACAACCCAAACUGAAGCCAAGAGCACUGUUGGUUUUAUUUGAUCGGACGGGAUCCCUAAACGUGGACCGUAGUGUUUUCACACAAUGAUUGUGCUCGUCCAAUCAGCUGAGCGGCGCUCUGGAGGCUUCCUGAUUGUGCUGGCAGGAAAUCAGGCUCUUAAGACACAACGUAUCUACUGGGCCAUCCAUCAUCUGUUAGCAUGGGCUCAGGCCUGCCAAUACACCCCCUGUUUGAGAGCAGAGCGGCGUCCUCGUCCUUCCUCAUCCCAGCGGCCCUGAGCUCAUCCCAUCUGCAUGCUCCGUCUUCUCCUGGAUGCUGCACACUCGGGACACCUUUUGAGAGUUCUGUCGAAUACGCUGGAUAAUGUUUCCUUUAGUAUAAUCACACCGCAGUAUUGCGUCUGGCGCUUUAAAUGCUGGAGCUCUUUAAAGCAGGAUCGCUUCUGAUUGGCUGCCAGUGUUUUGAAAGUGAAUUCCCAUCAGAGCUAUUACAGUUAAAGUCCUCAGGAAAUCAAUAUUGACUUUAUUUAGUUAUUUAGCACACAUUGCUAGUCUUGUGGUGAGCAAUGAUUGAGUUUUAAAAUACAACAGUGAACACCAUGAAACUAAUUUAAAAAGCCAAAUUCAUCAAAUAAUCAGAAUCACAUCUAGUCAUUUUACAAUCCUGCUACCAGCCUUUUAUUUACACUACACAACCCGUUCAUUCGUGUGAGGAAGCUGCGUUUGAGUUCAUUUGCUCAUCCUGUCAUGCUGUUUGCUGUAUGGUUAACGAUUAAUUCAUCAUUAAUUUAGACGCCGCUCGAUCAUGGGAAUGAUCGAAUAUUGACAUCGCUAACACAGACCAGAACAAAAACAGAUGAUGGUGAUGGGGGUUUGAUGGUUUAUCACAUGUCCCCCCGACUGGGCUUUUGUAUGACCCAGAAUGUAAGUAACAGUUACAGAACCACUGCAUUUCACAAUUCACAAGUUUUCGAUGUUAAUUAGAUUGUAAUUCACAAUUUGAUGCAAUAACAGAUCGGAAUUAAUAUUUGUGAAACUAUACAACACAAAGCAUCAUCUGCAGGAAACAGCAGACAGCUGAAUAAGAUGCAGUUUCACUGUCUGACAGCAGGUGGAGCUCAUGAGACAGCAGAACAAGUGUUUCCUUGUAAACAAAUCAGCAUUUAAAGAUAAUUGCUUUAAUACAGAGAUAAUAAUAAUAAU